GCGGGCCCGUCGGAGCGACGCCGCUCGGGUCAGUCGGCGGCCGGACUGGGAAGAUGGACGCAGCUACUCUGACCUACGACACUCUCCGGUUUGCCGAGUUUGAAGAUUUUCCUGAGACCUCAGAGCCCGUUUGGAUACUGGGUAGAAAAUACAGCAUUUUCACAGAAAAGGACGAGAUCUUGUCUGAUGUGGCAUCUAGACUUUGGUUUACAUACAGGAAAAACUUUCCAGCCAUUGGGGGGACAGGCCCCACCUCGGACACAGGCUGGGGCUGCAUGCUGCGGUGUGGACAGAUGAUCUUUGCCCAAGCCCUGGUGUGCCGGCACCUAGGCCGAGAUUGGAGGUGGACACAAAGGAAGAGGCAGCCAGACAGCUACUUCAGCGUCCUCAACGCAUUCAUCGACAGGAAGGACAGUUACUACUCCAUUCACCAGAUAGGAAGCUUGCUGUCUUCGACACGUGGAGCUCCUUGGCGGUCCACAUUGCGAUGGACAACACUGUUGUGAUGGAGGAAAUCAGUAAGUGGCGCAGGGUUUCCAUGGACAAGAAAGUUGAAAUUAUGGGCAACACAGACACUUCCUUGCCUGAGUCCCCACGGGAGCCUCGGCGAGUGUUGUCAGUCGCCCCAUGCCGUGCAGGUGCUCCGUGGGGCCUGCGUGCCAAGCCAGAUGCACGGUGGCCUCGCUCUCCUAUCCCGGCGGUCAUACCAAGAGAGGAGAGCCCAGGCUCUCUGGAGGCCGUGACUUGGUAUCUCACGUCAUGUUUUGUGUCUUGGUUACAAAUCAUUUGUGAAGGCGUGCUGUGCUUAGGCGCCCUCGUGUGGUAAUUCUGGUGAAGUUCUUUUGCCUUGAUAUGCCACAGAGAGAUGCAGCAACCAUCUCUAGCUGCACCAUCUCGAGCAAAGGCAUGUCGUGAAGGCAGAGCUCUUUUCAGCUUUCUGGAAGAAAGGUCUGCUGCAACCCUGAAGGAACCUAGGCGUGGCAACAUUUACAUCUAGGAGGAAAAUUGUGGCUCAGUUUUAACAAAUGGGCUCAUUGAGUGAGUUACAGAUUCAUGUUUCACCUUCCAUGAUGUAGCCAAGCUGAGAACUCUUAAAAA
rnacentral:sRNA from 1 species